rnacentral:rRNA from 1 species
UAGCGCGGUUGUCCCACCUGACCCCAUGCCGAACUCAGAAGUGAAACGCCGUAGCGCCGAUGGUAGUGUGGGGUCUCCCCAUGCGAGAGUAGGGAACUGCCAGGC